GUGUCAAUGAUGAUACCCCAUACUGUCUCAAAGACAGAUGAUGACUUAAAAAUCAUGUUCAAUAGGAUUAUGCUGAGGCCC